rnacentral:rRNA from 1 species
GUGCCAGCAGCCGCGGUAAUACGUAGGGUGCGAGCGUUGUCCGGAUUUAUUGGGCGUAAAGAGCUCGUAGGCGGUCUGUCGCGUCGACGUGUGAAACUCGGGCUCACCCCGAGCUUGCAGUUGAUACGGGCAGGCUAGAGUUCGGUAGGGGAGACUGGAAUUCCUGGUGUAGCGGUGAAAUGCGCAGAUAUCAGGAGGAACACCGGUGGCGAAGGCGGGUCUCUGGGCCGAUACUGACGCUGAGGAGCGAAAGCGUGGGGAGCGAACAGGAUUAGAUACCCUGGUAGUCC